GAUGAACGCUGGCGGCGUGCCUAAUACAUGCAAGUCGAGCGAACGGACGAGAAGCUUGCUUCUCUGAUGUUAGCGGAGGACGGGUGAGUAACACGUGGAUAACCUACCUAUAAGACUGGGAUAACUUCGGGAAACCGUAGCUAAUACCGGAUAAUAUUUUGAACCGCAUGGUUCAAAAGUGAAAGACGGUCUUGCUGUCACUUAUAGCUGGAUCCGCGCUGCAUUAGCUAGUUGGUAAGGUAACGGCUUACCAAGGCAACGAUGCAUAGCCGACCUGAGAGGGUGAUCGGCCACACUGGAACUGAGACACGGUCCAGACUCCUACGGGAGGCAGCAGUAGGGAAUCUUCCGCAAUGGGCGAAAGCCUGACGGAGCAACGCCGCGUGAGUGAUGAAGGUCUUCGGAUCGUAAAACUCUGUUAUUAGGGAAGAACAUAUGUGUAAGUAACUGUGCACAUCUUGACGGUACCUAAUCAGAAAGCCACGGCUAACUACGUG
rnacentral:rRNA from 1 species